AGUUGUAAUGUAUUGUUAAACAGAACAGAGUUACUGCACAGGAACCAUUUUCAUUUAGUACCUCAUUGUAGUCGGCGUUUGUGGGAAAUGUUGCAUAAAGACUUGUUAGGAGAAGAAACAUUUGCAUUGAAGACAAUUUUGCAAUCGGUCAAAAUAAAAAAAUCGGGAAUCGGAAUCUGUCACAAAGUCAUAGAUUUACCGCUGUCUGUUCUUGUUCUCAAGUGAACUUUCUAAUCUGUGUCCUUGAGAAAUGAUGGCACCGAUCCGAAACACGCCGGACGGAGAACUGUUUUUCACCUGUGUGACAACACCAUUCACCGUGUGUUACAGUGGAAGGAAAUGUUUUCUUUUCACAGUAAAGGCUUCUCAGGUUCUGCAGUGACGUCAUCAGACUGGAGAAUUAUCAAACCUACGGUUGUUAGCCUGAUGACCCAAAGGCCUUGAAUCCAGUAUCCAUUUUCCCAGUACGCUGUGUGUAACAGACCGGUGUCAGCUGACAGAUAAACACUGCGUGUACCGUCCACGUUGUUUAAACUGACAGAGUCACUGUGAUAAAAGCCUAUCUGAGCGGAGAUGACUGACACGCUACAGUGUGGCUUCUGUUUGUAUCUACCGCUUAUCCAGAAGAUACAACCGUCAUAGAAGACACUAGGUUAACGGCAGAGGCUGUUGAUCUUUACAUACUGGGCCACACACAGAGUAAUUUUUUAAAUUAAUUUAUUUUCACCUGUCGGUAUCGGUAUUUUAUUUUGAAAAGGCCACUUCAUCGCCAUCUGCCCCUGUUUUCAGAACUUGACUCAGUUACAAACUAACAGAGAUAAGAGAGGAGAAGUGACGCGUUAAUACACCGAGGCACAGACGAAAAAGGGCGGUGAAAACUCCAGUUCCUGUCCCCGUGUGAACGAGCUGAGCGAGACGAUACGGUCAGCCCCGCCUCUCAAUCCAGUAACACCGCUUAAAGCACGGCAAUAACUAAAAUGGCGGAAACCGAGCUGGAGAAAAUAAUUCCGCUAUUUGGUGUGCUACAGUUAGCAUCUGCGCCUUUCUGUGUUUCCUUUUCGAGUUGUUUGUUUUCCGAACUUCCGGUUAAAAUUCUUUCGGUAUUACUAUUGUAAUGCUCCAGUUAUCGGGGCUUUUUAUAAACUUUAUUUCGUUGUUUUUUUUUACAAACGGCAACAACUCAUUCUGAACUUUGUAAUUAAUUAAUUAAUUUUCACCCGUCGGCAUCGGUAUUUUCUUUUGAAAAGGCCACGUCAUCGCCAUCUGCCCGUUUUCAGAACUUGAUUCAGUUACUAACUGUCAGUUAGUAACUGACAGAGAUAAGAGAGGAGAAGUGACGCGUUAAUACAUCGAGGCACCGAGGGCGAAAAAGGGCGGUGAAAACUCCGGUUCCUGUCCCCGUGUGAACGAGCUGAGCGAGACGAUACGGUCAGCCCCGCCUCUCAACCCAGUAACACCGAUUAACGCAACGCAAUUACUAAAAUGGCGGAAACCGUACUGGAGAAGAUAUAUCGGCUAUAUGGUGUGCUACAGUUAGCAUCUCCGCCUUUUUAUGUUUCUUUUUCGAGUUGUUUGUUUUCCAAACUUACGGUUAAAAUUCUUUUGGUAUUACUAUUGUAAUGCUCCAGUUAUCGGGGCUUUUUUAUAAACUUUAUUUCGUUUUUUACCAACGGCAACAACUCAUUCUGAACUUUCUAAUGUUUUAAUCCCAGCUCCUCUGACGUCUCUCUUCUUAUCACUCUGACCACGCCCCCUUACUACCAGAAAUCGAAAUACCCGAAAACGGUUAACCGCUUCAUUACAUCAUGUAUAGAACAUCAUGACUACAGCAUGUCAGAGCGUUGUUCACACAGCGCCACUUACAGGCGUGGCAUCAGUACUACAUUAACCAGAGUAGAUUCAAUGGCUCAGUACCACAUCCUUUAGGCGAAUUAGCUUCUCUAGUACGCUCAGAAGGAACAUGGUUUCCGCCAUUGUUAUUGUGUCGUGUUACUGGUGUAGAGGCUACAGAGAAGCGGGGCUGACCUUAUCGUCCGGCAAGCGCCGAAUCAUGGUGACAUCAACGAGACACAGAACUGUCCAGGGUGCGACUCCGCCCUCACCUGAUGACUGCUGGUAUUGGCUGCAGCGCCCCCCGGUGACCCAAAGAAGGAUUAGGAGGUAAGACUUUUUCUGCUUGUUCCUGUUUCACCUUUACCCUCCUCACCUCUGGUCCUCACCUCCUGUCCCCCGUCAUCACCUGGUGCGUCCCUAAUGUCUCCCACCUGUGUCUAGUUAUUGUCGACUCUUCUGUAUUUAAAUGACCUGUCUAUUUUGAUAUAACUUCACAGUGGGAUGUUAAAAAGUUUGGCUGUCGAGCAGGGCAUUUCCUUCGGCGUGUGUCAUGUGAGGUCGUUCCUCUCGGCCGUGUAUCGAUUUCAUCCCGUGUCAUUUUAGUAACUUGUCCCUUGCUGAUGUCAGUGGGGACUGACCUUCAUCAGGACAGAGCCCAGGUUUUACUUUCAACAUUCCGUGUUUGUAUAGAGUUGCAACACAGUCCAGUGUACACGUUCAUUCUCAUUCACUGAGACCUUGGUCUACAGUAGGUCUACAGUAGGUCUACAGGCCCGGGGUUGUGUGUUUACGUCCCAAACCAGAUGAGAAAAAGGUUGGAUUUCAUGAGCUGGUUUCCCUACAACUAGGAAGGGCGCCCCAUGAACAGAACUGUACUGGUCCCUGCACCGGAGUUUGAGGACCCCUAGUUAACAGGACUCUUUCUGACCUUUUUUGGAUUUUCCUUUUUUAGAAAGUACAGCACAUAUUUAUUCUGCUGAGUGUGGAAGUUUGUACUUGGAACUGUGUGGAAUCAUCUGGGUUCUUCCUGUCUUUCGUCGUCUGUUUGUUGCUAAAUGAACCAUGACCAAAGCUGCGGUGUCACUCAUUAACCCACCGCUGCUCAUGUGAUGUGAAAAGCAACGCGUCCGCUUCCACGUCACAUCCUCACCAUAUGUUUCUCAACAUCAUCAGCCCUCUCUUCAUCGUGUUCUCAUUCCUGUCAUGUGAUGAUUAACUUCUCAAGGUCAAGGACAUCGAGCUGUAAGACCUGAUACGUGACACGCCCCCUAUAUUUCACCUGUUGUACAGGGUUUCAGUUCCACUUCUGUUUCAACUUAGUGUAGUCAAGCGUUAAGAUGGAAUUUUCUUUAGUUGAAAAAGAGUCAGAACUUGUGAUUUCUUAAGAGGAGCUGGACCUAAAAGUCAGAACAAGAUCAACUGAACAUGACCAGUUGAUCCAGGAUCAUCAGUUUAAAUCAAGGUUUUCUUCUCAUACGCUGCUGUAGCGCUGGUGUGUAUUAAACCCUAUCGAUGCUCAUUUAAAUAACUGGGACUAAUGAUAAAAGUAAUGUAAUGCAUUAACCUUGUGUGAGGUCAGGUGUUUCAAUACGACCAGUGUGUGGCAGCAGGAACAGAGACUUGAAGCUAACAGUGUAUCAUCAUAGGCUGCAUGAACGUCAGCAAACACAAAAAGUACUUUAAAAUAAGGUUCUCUACUCCAUCACGCUACAAGAUAUCAGUUUUUAUUUUACACAGGGAAGGACAAAGUCAGACAGUAACAUUUGAACUACAGUUAAGACUUCCUGCUCCAACAAAGGUCGGGUUUGAGGAGCAGAGAAGACGAUAAAUAGUCUUUGGUGACAUACAGAUAUUAACUUACACAGAUAAUUUAAAUACAAUAUAUAUAAAUAAUUGGCCGAGGGUUUUUCACACACACGAUCACACACACACAUGUCCACAGACACAUCUCAAUGCAAUAUUUACAAUUAUGUUCAGUACAAUGAGUAGAGUUCAGUGUGUGAGAAAGUACAAAAAUACACCGUUGCAUUAAAGUGCGUUCUGUGGCUCUGGAGCAGAUCAUGGGACACGACACCGUAACGCUUCCUACGUGGUACAAACACGAACGAACUCUGUACUUGCUGCUGGUCCUGGUCCCCGACUAGACCACCACACAUGGUGAACAUGGUUCUUCCUAAGAGGGAGGUAUUUCACGGUCGUACACAGUUUGCUCGCACAACUUCACGUGACACAAUGCCCGACGUCAUAAAAACAUGACGUGAGUUAAAACAAAACAAAACAGAACAGAACAAAAAAAAAAAGACAGAAAGAAAAGAAAAGCCUGGUGGCUGACUGGACCAGAGCACAGAUCAAACACAGAAGAUAAAGAGUCCUGAUAGGAUACAAACUCCUGGUCCAACAAUACGCAGCACGUGAUUGGUGUAAAAUACGCACAUGGUACAAAAGAAAGGAGAUUCACCAGGAUUUUGCAGCAUUUGAAGCCUUUUAAUGAUUGGUCAUGAGACAGCGAUUAGCUCCAUUACAGCUAAGAGAAUGGCAUGUUUCCCUUUAGCAAGCCUACGAACAGAUUAGAUUGAGGACUAAGAAAACCAGCCAGGAUUACCCUGCGACCUCUGGUCUCCUAUGAUUACAGAGAGAUGGGCAGAGGAACAGUUGGGCGGCCGGUGUGAGGGAGAUGAUAACGAGAGAUCAGGCUAACGUCAUCGACAAGAAGAAAAGAAACAGAAACAGAAACACAGAUUAAGACCUGGAAGAACAUUUUCAUGCACAACGUCCUGGGUUUGAGUGGAGAAGUUGGCUGCAGAUUCUGCUGCAUAUCUUUGGUCAAAACUGGGUCACGAAUAAAUGAUGAGAAGAAUUUUAAUUUUAACCAAAACUUUAGAAUCCACGUUGUUAAACUGGUCCCCUGACAUCGGACCCCUCCCAUAAUUAAAGAUCUGAAAGAGCAGGAUAUGAAGUACGAGAAGGAAUUUCAAUAAUAAUAGAAUGGAAAAUAAGAAUAUUUUUGUGUCUGGAACUUUAAAGACCUUUGAGGACUUUGAG